ACUGUGGAUUGCUAUACAAACUGUAGUAGGUAGAUAUUUUGUAUCAUCAAGGCAGAGUACGGUGAAACAGUAA
rnacentral:sRNA from 12 species